rnacentral:lncRNA from 1 species
GGGCGAGGCGUGGGGUCCGCGCUUGGCUAAGGCGGUGUGCUUCCGAUGUGGAGAAGAGAUGAGUCUGAAUGUGAGAUUAUUUGUAGGGGCAGUUUUAUCAAUUUACCUUCUCCUCGGUGAGAUCGCGGUAAAUAAAUGGCCUUAGGGCAUGUACAACAUGUACAACAGAGACCGCUGCUGUCUAAGUUUUUAAAAUUUAUAAUACAUAUAGCUUAAUAGAUAGCUCGUACAACCCAU